rnacentral:tRNA from 1 species
UGGCCUUGUACUGGGGUUCGGCCAGGGCGUCGUUGCUGAUGGCGGUGCCGAUCGCCAGGUUGUGCCGGGCGGCCAGGGCCUUC